CCUGCAUAAUUCACAUGAUCACACUCAGAAAACAAACUCAUGCAAACCAAGCUACGAGUCUUCGUCAAGAAAUUGAUGCUUGGCUUUGUUCGUUACAUUAAAACGAGUUGAAAAGAAACGUUAAACUAUUACUGAAGUGCAUAUCUGCUCAAUUUCGCAUGCUUUAAGGGUAUAUCUGGCCCUUUUAGGGUAAUCAGAGGCACCAGUUAAAUUAAGGGCAUAUUUGGACCAGCCAUUGAACGGUAAGGGCAUAUGUGAGCUGAACAACUAAAAAAAGCAUGCCAGCUCGAUUUUGAAUACUUCAAGAGCACAUUUGACCCUUUUCCCAUCAAUAAAGGAUGAUUCAUACUACAUUUCGAUAGUCGCUGGAAACAGUUCAAGGAGAAGCCUCCGGCUCGUAGUGUGGUGCUGGUACAAAGAGUAAUCAAAAGAUGCUUCAGCAUACGAUUCAUGUUUGAGAAGAGCUCAGUCAGGUUUGCUGAUCUCAAUGAACCAGCUCAGCUUGAAGAAGCAACCCCAUCACCAGUUGGUUUACUUGGUUAUGGUAAUAUUCACAAGGAGACUAUUAAAUCAAAUCCAGCAUUUGUGGUGUUGCCAAGAGAAGCCAGAUGGAACUCCCCAUCAUACAAGGCCUAGUUUCUCUUUAACCAGCCUCUAGGUUGACAACAUUAAAGGUAAAAAGAGGGACUGAUUCUCUUCUAUAUACGAGACAGGUAAUAAUACCUGUGAAACAUGCAGAGUGUUCAAGAUGGUACGUCAACUGUUUCCAUCGUUCUGCAGGUAAAAAGGAAAACCGUUCAGAAGUAGAUGGAAUCAAGAGAGGAAGAUCUCUCAAGGAUUCACGGCGAAAUCUCUAGUAACAAAUAAAUCAACCCACAAACCACAUACGGAAGCAAGUAAAAUCAACGCGACAAUUCGGACAAAGUCACAAAAACAGACUGGACUGUCUAGCUACACAUAACUAUGUACAGAAGAUGAGAUAGCAAAUCAAUUCCCUAUAAGAAAGCAAACCAUCAGAAGCGGCCAGAAGGAUUGAAGACAAAGAUGGGCAUACUAUCAAUCAAAUCUCAAUCAAGGAUAAAACAAAUCACCUUGAUUGAGAGUAUACCCCUUGGUUUACCUUAGAGCAGCCUGUAAAAGAUCAAAGGAAUUGAUCUUCAACUCGAGACGAGCAGCCGCGAAGAUCUCUAUAUAAAUAAGACCAAGUUGAAUGAAGAAGCUGCGCAACUUCACUUGAGCAAAAACCAAUCACUUUUUCAUCUUAUAAACACAUUGUAAUCUUUACAGUUUACUAGUGAAAAGAAAAGAUAAGGAGAGAAUAGGAAGCUAUAUGAGUAGAGGUUGUGGCCAACUAUAAAGUGGAAUCUGUCUAGUUUAAAGAACUCUCUGUAGUUCGCAAUCUACAACAUUUGUGCAAUCAAGAUACAUUCAAGAUUCUAA